rnacentral:rRNA from 1 species
AUUGAACGCUGGCGGCAUGCCUUACACAUGCAAGUCGAACGGUAACAGGUCUUCGGAUGCUGACGAGUGGCGAACGGGUGAGUAAUACAUCGGAACGUGCCUAGUAGUGGGGGAUAACUACUCGAAAGAGUGGCUAAUACCGCAUGAGAUCUACGGAUGAAAGCAGGGGAUCGCAAGACCUUGUGCUACUAGAGCGGCCGAUGGCAGAUUAGGCAGUUGGUGGGAUAAAAGCUUACCAAGCCGACGAUCUGUAGCUGGUCUGAGAGGACGAUCCGCCACACUGGGACUGAGACACGGCCCAGACUCCUACGGGAGGCAGCAGUGGGGAAUUUUGGACAAUGGGCGCAGGCCUGAUUCAGCAAUGCCGCGUGCAGGAUGAAGGCCUUCGGGUUGUAAACUGCUUUUGUACGGAACGAAAAGCCCUGGGUUAAUACCCUGGGGUCAUGACGGUACCGUAAGAAUAAGCACCGGCUAACUACGUGCCAGCCGCCGCGGUAAGAC